rnacentral:tRNA from 1 species
GGGGUUGUAGUUAAUAAUAACAUUUAAUUUGCAAUUAAAAAGAACUAGUGUAUAGUCUUCCUCA